rnacentral:rRNA from 1 species
GACGAACGCUGGCGGCGUGCUUAACACAUGCAAGUCGAACGGUAAGGCCCUUCGGGGUACACGAGUGGCGAACGGGUGAGUAACACGUGGGUGAUCUGCCCUGCACUUCGGGAUAAGCCUGGGAAACUGGGUCUAAUACCGGAUAGGACCACUGCCUGCAUGGGUGGUGGUGGAAAGCUUUUGCGGUGUGGGAUGGGCCCGCGGCCUAUCAGCUUGUUGGGGGGGUGAUGGCCUACCAAGGCGACGACGGGUAGCCGGCCUGAGAGGGUGACCGGCGACACUGGGACUGGGAUACGGCCCAGACUCCUACGGGGGGCAGCGGUGGGGAAUAUUGCACAAGGGGCGCAAGCCUGAGGCAGCGACGCCGCGUGAGGGAUGACGGCCUUCGGGUUGUAAACCUCUUUCAGCACCGACGAAGCGCAGGUGACGGUAGGUGCAGAAGAAGGACCGGCCAACUACGUGCCAGCAGCCGCCGUAA